rnacentral:rRNA from 1 species
UCCGCGCCGUAGCUAACGCAUUAAGUGCCCCGCCUGGGGAGUACGGCCGCAAGGCUAAAACUCAAAGGAAUUGACGGGGGCCCGCACAAGCGGCGGAGCAUGCGGAUUAAUUCGAUGCAACGCGAAGAACCUUACCAAGGCUUGACAUGAACUGGAAACGCCCGGAAACGGGUGCCCCGCUUGCGGCCGGUUUACAGGUGGUGCAUGGUUGUCGUCAGCUCGUGUCGUGAGAUGUUGGGUUAAGUCCCGCAACGAGCGCAACCCUCGUUCUAUGUUGCCAGCACGUUAUGGUGGGGACUCAUGGGAGACUGCCGGGGUCAACUCGGAGGAAGGUGAGGACGACGUCAAAUCAUCAUGCCCCUUAUGUCUUGGGCUUCACGCAUGCUACAAUGGCCGGUACAAUGGGUUGCGAUACUGUGAGGUGGAGCUAAUCCCAAAAAGCCGGUCUCAGUUCGGAUUGGGGUCUGCAACUCGACCCCAUGAAGUCGGAGUCGCUAGUAAUCGCAGAUCAGCAACGCUGCGGUGAAUACGUUCCCGGGCCUUGUACACACCGCCCGUCAAGUCACGAAAGUUGGUAACACCCGAAGCCCAUGNCCCAACCCGCAAGGGGGGGAG